GAUCAUGGCUCAGGAUGAACGCUGGCGGCGUGCCUAACACAUGCAAGUCGAACGAGGUAAAUGAGUUGAAGUUUUCGGAUGGAUUCUUAUUUACCGAGUGGCGGACGGGUGAGUAACGCGUGGGUAACCUGCCUCAUACAGGGGGAUAACGAUUGGAAACGAUUGCUAAUACCGCAUAAGCGCACAGUACCACAUGGUACAGUGUGAAAAACUACCGGUGGUAUGAGAUGGACCCGCGUCUGAUUAG
rnacentral:rRNA from 1 species